rnacentral:rRNA from 1 species
CGCGGUAUAAUGACCGUGCGAAGGUAGCAUAAUCAUUAGUCUUUUAAUUGGAGGCUCGUAUGAAUGGCUGGACGAGAGGUAAGCUGUCUCUAUUAGGAAAAUUGAAUUUAACUUUUAAGUGAAAAGGCUUAAAUAAUCUAAAGGGACGAUAAGACCCUAUAAAGCUUUACAUUUAAUUUCUAGGGGUGUUAAUUAAGUAAUAAAAAAUUUGUUAGAUAUAAUAUGUUUUGUUGGGGCGACAGGAAUAAAAGGAAUUUAACUGUUCUAAAUAGUAAAUCAGAAAUAUUUGAUUUUUAAUGAUUUUUUAUUAAAGUAUUAGAUUAAGUUACUUUAGGGAUAACAGCGUUAUUUUUUUUGAGAGUUCUUAUCGACAAAAAAGUUUGCGACCUCGAUGUUGAAUUAAAGGUGCUCUGUAGCGCAGAAGCUAUAGUAGAAAGU